rnacentral:lncRNA from 1 species
AGGAUGAAUGUGUUCUGAGUGAAAAGGAAAUGCCCUUCGAUGGGGACUCUGCUAGACCAGCGCUGUCGAGACUCAAGAACACCACAUCAGACCCAUCAUGCCUGGCUCAAGUCGACUCAGACAUGUAAGUGUCCACAUAUAUUGAUGUAUCUUUAUAUACCUUUUCCUGUACGAUUGUAUAGGCAAAAACUCUUGAGAUACCUAAGAGGCAGAGAUACAUAAGAGGCCUACAGCCUAUGUAAAGGUCUUCCUUCUGUGACGCAAUAAUUAUAAGAAGUAUUUUAAAGCCAUCCUUUUUGGUCAAAUAAUGAGGGGAAUUCUGAUGAUCCAUGAACAGGCUGCAACACUUUACAGAGCUGGCUGAACUCUCCAGCAUCACAGGCUCUCCUGGCCAGCACCAAGACGGGCUCUUUCGGACCUCCCUCAACAGGCCUCCUCCACCGUGCAACAGCACACCACGGAGCCUGGGUAAACACACUGCCCCUCCUCCUUUACCUUGAGCCCUGUGCUCCUUAGAGGAGCAGAAUGUCCAAACCUUUUUUUAGGGCUGAAUAGUUUCCAUGUUUUUUAAAAUAGUUGUAUAUCUUUUGUUCUGUUGAUGUUUGUGUUGUAUAAUUCUAUUCAACAGCGCAUUUGAAAUCCAACCCUACGGGCACUGAGGUGACCAACAGCCCCAUCCUGGAGGCUCCAGCAGUCCAGUGGACUUCUAUGUCUUUGAACUCUGAGAGCUUUACCACAGCAGCUGCAGAUGUUUCAGGGGACGGCCUCGUAAGUGGCCAAUGCUGUCAACAGUCCGAAACCAUUUGGCUACUUCUCUGGUUGAAUAUCAUUGUCUGGGAUUGCACUGGUUAAUUAUCAACUAUCUUUCUUUUGCCAUUACCAGCAGGACAACCUGGUGGCCACAAACACUAUUCAGUCUCCAUUCUUGAAAGUCGACCCUGGCCCCCAGCCUCCUAGUCACCUCCUGCAGAGCCCUGACUUGAACCUUGCUGGCUCCACGGACCGGGCACAGUGUCCUGGGCCUGGGAAGGAGCAGAGAGGAGCCGGGAGGGAGGCAGUGGAGGGAAGGCAAGAGGAGCAACAUGCCGAGGGAGCAGGACCGUGUGCAGGGUUGGAUGAGGGGGAUAGAAGUGGACAGCAGGGGGAUGGGAAGGGCCACUGUGUGGAGGCAGCGGAGCAUGCAGGACCGGACCACCGAGGCGCCACUGAGCAGCCUCUGCCUGGAGGCUGUGGCGCUGCUAGUGUUAUGAACAGAGAGUUGAAGGGACUGCUGGACGACGAUGAGGAAGGAGCCCUACACAAGGCUUGUGCUGACCAGUGUGGAGACCUUCAACCAGUUGGAGGCAAACCCUCAGAAGACCCCAGCUCACUGGAAUGGAGUGACAGGGCUCACUCUACUUUGGACGAGGCCCUUGCAGAUAGCAGAACUCCCAGACUCGUAGGGCCGGCCGGGGCCACGGAGACGGUGGGUUCAGUUAACAGUGCUCCCAAUUUGGUCAAAUGAAAAUACUCCAACCGGGUUCCGACCUUUCAAAAGUAAUAUUUAUCAGCAGGGUAAAUGGUCAAAGAGGUUGUCCUUGACCACAACGAUAAAAGAAUCACAAAUGUCGCUGCAUUUUAGACCAUUACAUACAUGACAUUAAUCUGCCCGUUGCUGCCAAGUAUAGAGAGCAUGUGUAAUGGUUACACCUCGGUGCUGGUUAAUGGAAGUAUCUGCUCCCUGAAUGGCCAGGGAAGCCCCAGGUGAGGACCAUGCUGAUGGGGAUGAAUACAAGAUCAACCACCACAACAGGAAGCACCUCACCGGCAUCUCAAACGACUGAAGACGCGUUUUCUUUUUGAAGUCAGACGUUGAGAAUGUGUUGAGAAUUAUUGUUGAAAAAGCUUAACUUACAAUUUUGUAUUAACGUAAAGUAGAAAUAUUUACAUAUUUGUUUUUCUCAUUAUCUGAAAUAAGUUAUUUUACAAUUCUUAAAAUAUGAAUGUUAUUGACAAUGUACUGGUGUUGAUUUGGCAAUGUUCUACCGAAAUAAUGUGUUCUCUGUAAACGUCAAGUUAAGCCAUUAGUAGUAUGUUUUAGAAAACAAACAAGUCUUUUCUUUUUGAUACAUUUAUUCUGAAACCGUAUGCAUUUCCUAGCAAGUUAUCAGUCAAUUGUUCCACACAUUCAGCUCCAAAUGGUCAUUGGCUCAUCCUAAGCUUCACAGUAUUAUAGGAAUAGUGUAAUACAUUGUAGAUCUUGUAUUGAUUGUUCAGAAAUUAGCAUGUUGUAAAAACAUAAUUCAACCACAUUUUUAAAAGGUGAAAAUUUUGUGGUUCACUGAAAGGCAUGCUAUAUUCAAGUCCACCCAAACGGUGGGUCUUGUGUGUUUAAAUCCACACAAAAAACUUGUGGAAUGUAAUGGCUUUGCUGUGGUGCACAAAAAUUCCCCAUUUAUUUCUAUCGCUACUAAAAGGUGUUGCAGGAGCUUUUUUUUCCACUGAUGCAUCUUCUGAAGGGUUAGGUGGACAUUGUAAAACAAAAAAAUAGUAAACCAUACAGCUAAGUAUACAACAUUCAUUCAGUAAUGCCUUCACAGCCAAGGCACCAUCUGAGUUAUUUGAAACAGCUCAAACUUGUUUUGUGAGCAGCGCUUGUAACAUAACACCAGACUGAUUUAAUGCUGUGCGAUUAAAAUGUACUGAACCUUCUCAUUUCUGAAAUGAAUUGUUAUUUUUCAAUCCAGAUUUUUUUCUCUAUUGCAUGAGUCUUAAAAAUCCAAUCCUCUAUUUCCUAUAUUGAUUCAAUCCAAUCCAAAAAAUAGGGCAUUUUCACAUUUCACAAUUAAUCAGUGUUCAAAAACCGCUGACAUGCCAGAUCUGGGGGGAGCAUCUUUUAAUGGAUUCAAUGUCACAUCGUUUACAGAACGUUGAAAAUAAUCUGAAUUCCUUGCACAUUCACGGAGGGUGAAUGGUUAGGUUGCAGAAUAAAAGACAAAGCAUCACAAUAUAAGGAUGUUGAUGGACUCCAUGAUGUACAACUUGACCAUCAUUUUCUGCGGCAGGUUGAACUUCUUCAGCAUCUGCAGGAAUAAAACCUCUUGAUAGUGGAGGUGCUGGGAGAUGAUUGUCCCUUGGGAUCAGAAAGACGUUUUUUUGCACAACGAGCAAAAAGCUUCUUGGUCAUUUCCCAUCACGGGUUUCAGCCAGUCUUUUAAUUUCGGGUCGUCCACCCACGUUUGUGAAAACUUGCAUUUACCCAUUCUCUCAUAGAGCUAGAAACUCAGCCGUACAGAACUCUGAGGGGGAAAGGCGGAAAAUUUUGCCGGCGUCGCUAUAGCAACCAGCGACGCCAACUCUAACAGUUACUCAGUUCAGGUCCUGCUGGCACCGUAUACUGUAUUUUUUAGGCUAGAUUCAGUUAAAACAUGUAAACACAUAUUAAGCAAAAAAUGGAAACUCAUUUUAUAUUGAGGUGGUGAAAACUACUACGAAGUCAAAUUGCGUUUGUUACCUCAAGGGCCUUAAUUUUUUAUUUUAUUUUUUACUACCUUUUACUACCGCGCGGACACCCUGGAGGCGGCCGGUUGGGGCUCCUCAAGUCUGCUAACAUCUCUACACUUUUCAUAGCAUUCACCUUGUGGGAACAUAACGUCUCUUGAUCCGGGUGACCCCAAACAUUCUCAAAGGCAUACGUAAAAAAGAUGAGCUGGUGUUUGAGUGUCUGCUUGUGGAAAGAGGGCAUCACUUUAAAGAUAGGAGUAGGCCCACAUAGAAGUCCAUUUCACCAACCUCCUGCAUUUAAGGGGACAGAUGCUGGCGCAGUCGAAAGUGUUGGUCGGUCAACUAACGCCCGCCGACCUGUCUGUCCUAGAUGUUUCUGAGAAGAAGAGAAUGGAGAAGGGAUAAAUCGACUUUUGUUUGCUAUUAAAUGAAUGACUUUAGACAUUUUAAAGUUUCAAAACACUUAUGGGUGAGGAGAGGAUUGUUUACAUGUUGCAUUGACAUUAAGUGUCAUUUCAAGCAAAGUAAAUAUUUUUUUAAAGGAGAUAAAUCCUAGACACAGAAGUCUGUCCCGUUUCCUUCAAAUGUCUGUUAAGCAGUCAGAGGAAAUCAACCAAUCCACAGGCAUGCUAGUAGCCUAUGUAAUGAAAUCGUGUUAAACCAGAUAAUUGGCAGAUGAAGAAUGAUGACAAACAAAC